UUCACUUGGUUGCGUUGCUAGUGAAAAGGAUCUCCAAGAGUGGUCGGGUGAGAUUGGCUCUGAUAUCCCCUUCUCUUCUCUCAUGGUGUUGCUUAUUGUACAGCUAGAGGGGAGUUAGUGAAUUCGAAACCAUAGCCGCCGCCUCAUCUCAGAAACGGGCGUCGAUUUUACCCGAUCUCAGAAAACGCCGGUCGUCUUUGCCUCAUCUCUUCCGAUUGCUUUUCAAUCGCCUGCUCUGGUUAGAAAAUGACUGGCACCGUGGCCUUAUUGGCUCCAGCAUCGACGCCUUCUUCUUCGGCCCGAAGGUUUCUUUGUCGUCGUCGGCAGGCCCCUGUUCGAAAUUAUUCGCCAUCGAUGAAUGCCCACAUAACCCUCUGACUCGUCUCUUAGAUAAUUUCUCUGCUCAUCUUUUGUUGUGGUCUUUUAAGACAAUGGUAUAAACUAGUAUAAAACAUUGAAGAACUGACGGUCCUAUGUCAGAAGAUGUGGCUUUUGUCAAUGUUCUCGUCGAGGAAAAGUUCAGCCGACUUUGUGCAUGUGGAGAUGGAUUAAAGCCAUGUGGAAAUGGAUUAAAGCCACUAUCCAAAAGAGGAGAGAGGAUUAAUCUUGAUUUGCAAAAGGAGAAUGAAGAGCUGAACAAAAAGAAUGAAGAGUUGGCCUCUCGGAUUGAGAGAGAGGAUUAAUCUUGAUUUGCAAAAAGGAGAAUGCAGAGCUGAACAAAAAGAAUGAAGAGUUGGCCUCUCGGACUGAGUCUUUAGAAGCUCAAAUUAGCAACCACCAAGUGAAUCUAGCAUGAUCACAUCUUUACUUGUAUUUGCAAUUUGUAUUUGAUGUUUUAGAAAUAAGUGUGAUCACGCUUUUUUCAACGUCUUAUGAAACAAUACUGUCAAACUAGCAUGAUCACGUCUUUACUUAAAGAAGCUUCCGCAUCAAUUUUGUAAUUCGAUCUAGUAUUUUUAGAAAUAAAUGUGAUCACGUCAUUUCUUAAA